CAGGCCUAACACAUGCAAGUCGAGCGGUAACAGGGGUAGCUUGCUACCCGCUGACGAGCGGCGGACGGGUGAGUAAUGCAUAGGAAUCUACCCGAUAGUGGGGGAUAACCUGGGGAAACCCAGGCUAAUACCGCAUACGUCCUACGGGAGAAAGGGGGCUCCGGCUCCCGCUAUCGGGUGAGCCUAUGCCGGAUUAGCUGGUUGGUGAGGUAAUGGCUCACCAAGGCGACGAUCCGUAGCUGGUCUGAGAGGAUGAUCAGCCACAUCGGGACUGAGACACGGCCCGAACUCCUACGGGAGGCAGCAGUGGGGAAUAUUGGACAAUGGGGGCAACCCUGAUCCAGCCAUGCCGCGUGUGUGAAGAAGGCCCUCGGGUUGUAAAGCACUUUCAGUGAGGAAGAACGCCUGGCGGUUAAUACCCGCCAGGAAAGACAUCACUCACAGAAGAAGCACCGGCUAACUCCGUGCCAGCAGCCGCGGUAAUACGGAGGGUGCAAGCGUUAAUCGGAAUUACUGGGCGUAAAGCGCGCGUAGGUGGCUUGAUAGGCCGGUUGUGAAAGCCCCGGGCUCAACCUGGGAACGGCAUCCGGAACUGUCAAGCUAGAGUGCAGGAGAGGAAGGUAGAAUUCCCGGUGUAGCGGUGAAAUGCGUAGGGAUCGGGAGGAAUACCAGUGGCGAAGGCGGCCUUCUGGACUGACACUGACACUGAGGUGCGAAGGCGUGGGUAGCAAACAGGAUUAGAUACCCUGGUAGUCCACGCCGUAAACGAUGUCGACCAGCCGUUGGGUGCCUAGCGCACUUUGUGGCGAAGUUAACGCGAUAAGUCGACCGCCUGGGG
rnacentral:rRNA from 1 species